CAGUCGCCGCGGGAAUACGUAGGUGGCAAGCGUUGUCCGGAUUUAUUGGGCGUAAAGCGAGCGCAGGCGGUUUCUUAAGUCUGAUGUGAAAGCCCCCGGCUCAACCGGGGAGGGUCAUUGGAAACUGGGAGACUUGAGUGCAGAAGAGGAGAGUGGAAUUCCAUGUGUAGCGGUGAAAUGCGUAGAUAUAUGGAGGAACACCAGUGGCGAAGGCGGCUCUCUGGUCUGUAACUGACGCUGAGGCUCGAAAGCGUGGGGAGCGAACAGGAUUAGAUACCCCAGUAGUCCCUGUCUCUUAUAC
rnacentral:rRNA from 1 species